AGUGAACGCUGGCGGUAGGCCUAACACAUGCAAGUCGAACGGCAGCACAGUAAGAGCUUGCUCUUACGGGUGGCGAGUGGCGGACGAGUGAGGAAUACAUCGGAAUCUACUUUUUCGUGGGGGAUAACGUAGGGAAACUUACGCUAAUACCGCAUACGACCUACGGGUGAAAGCAGGGGAUCUUCGGACCUUGCGCGAUUGAAUGAGCCGAUGUCGGAUUAGCUAGUUGGCGGGGUAAAGGCCCACCAAGGCGACGAUCCGUAGCUGGUCUGAGAGGAUGAUCAGCCACACUGGAACUGAGACACGGUCCAGACUCCUACGGGAGGCAGCAGUGGGGAAUAUUGGACAAUGGGCGCAAGCCUGAUCCAGCCAUACCGCGUGGGUGAAGAAGGCCUUCGGGUUGUAAAGCCCUUUUGUUGGGAAAGAAAAGCAGCAGGUUAAUACCCCGCUGUUAUGACGGUACCCAAAGAAUAAGCACCGGCUAACUUCGUG
rnacentral:rRNA from 1 species